rnacentral:rRNA from 1 species
UGCGAGUCAUUGUAGCAAUACAAGGCAGACGGCUCAGUAACGCGUAGUCAAUCUACCCUAUGGACGGGAAUAACCUCGGGAAACAGAGAAUAAUGCCCGACAGAACAUUAUACCUGGAACGGUUUAUGUUUCAAAUGAUUUAUCGCCGUAGGAUGGGACUGCGGCCUAUCAGUUUGUUGGUGAGGUAAUGGCCCACCAAGACUAUUACAGGUACGGGCUCUGAGAGGAGUAGCCCGGAGAUGGGUACUGAGACACGGACCCAGGCCCUAUGGGGCGCAGCAGGCGAGAAAACUUUGCAAUGUGCGAAAGCACGACAAGGUUAAUCCGAGUGGUUUCUGCUAAAGAAACCUUUUGCUAGUCCUAGAAACACUAGUGAAUAAGGGGUGGGCAAGUUCUGGUGUCAGCCGCCGCGGUAAAACCAGCACCUCAAGUGGUCAGGAUGAUUAUGGGGCCUAAAGCAUCCGUAGCUCGUUUUGUAAGUUUUCGGUUAAAUCCAUACGCUUAACGUAUGGGCUGCCGGGAAUACUGCAUAACUAGGAAGUGGGAGAGGUAGACGGUACUCGGUAGGAAGGGGUAAAAUCCUUUGAUCUAUUGAUGACCACCUGUGGCGAAGGCGGUCUACCAGAACACGUUCGACGGUGAGGGAUGAAAGCUGGGGGAGCAAACCGGAUUAGAUACCCGGGUAGUCCCAGCUGUAAACUAUGCAAACUCAGUGAUGCAUUGGCUUGUGGCCAAUGCAGUGCUGCAGGGAAGCCGUUAAGUUUGCCGCCUGGGAAGUACGUACGCAAGUAUGAAACUUAAAGGAAUUGGCGGGGGAGCACCACAAGGGUGAAGCCUGCGGU